rnacentral:rRNA from 1 species
AUUGAACGCUGGCGGAAUGCUUUACACAUGCAAGUCGAACGGCAGCACGGACUUCGGUCUGGUGGCGAGUGGCGAACGGGUGAGUAAUGUAUCGGAACGUGCCCAGUCGUGGGGGAUAACGUAGUGAAAAUUACGCUAAUACCGCAUACGAUCUAUGGAUGAAAGCGGGGGAUCGCAAGACCUCGCGCGAUUGGAGCGGCCGAUAUCAGAUUAGGUAGUUGGUGGGGUAAAGGCCCACCAAGCCAACGAUCUGUAGCUGGUCUGAGAGGACGACAAGCCACACUGGAACUGAGACACGGUCCAGACUCCUACAGGAGGCAGCAGUGGGGAAUUGUGGACAAUGGGCGAAAGCCUGAUCCAGCCAUUCCGCGUGCAGGAUGAAGGCCCUCGGGUUGUAAACUGCUUUUGUACAGAACGAAAAGGUUUCUACUAAUACUAGGAGCUCAUGACGGUACUGUAAGAAUAAGCACCGGCUAACUACGUGCCAGCCGCCGCCGUAA